CCAGACUCCUACGGGAGGCAGCAGUGGGGAAUAUUGGACAAUGGGGGAAACCCUGAUCCAGCGACGCCGCGUGAGUGAAGAAGUAUUUCGGUACGUAAAGCUCUAUCAGCAGGAAAGAAAAUGACGGUACCUGACUAAGAAGCCCCGGCUAACUACGUGCCAGCAGCCGCGGUAAUACGUAGGGGGCAAGCGUUAUCCGGAAUUACUGGGUGUAAAGGGAGCGUAGACGGUGAAGUAAGUCUGGAGUGAAGGGCGGGGGCCCAACCCCCGGACUGCUCUGGAAACUAUUUGACUGGAGUGCAGGAGAGGUAAGCGGAAUUCCUAGUGUAGCGGUGAAAUGCGUAGAUAUUAGGAGGAACACCAGUGGCGAAGGCGGCUUACUGGACUGUAACUGACGUUGAGGCUCGAAAGCGUGGGGAGCAAACAGGAUUAGAUACCCGUGUAAA
rnacentral:rRNA from 1 species